AAACGACUCUCGGCAACGGAUAUCUCGGCUCUCGCAUCGAUGAAGAACGUAGCGAAAUGCGAUACUUGGUGUGAAUUGCAGAAUCCCGUGAACCAUCGAGUCUUUGAACGCAAGUUGCGCCCGAAGCCACUAGGCCAGGGCACGCCUGCCUGGGUGUCAUGC
rnacentral:rRNA from 3 species